GUCAAAAUUGAUGACUGGCUCAUGGACUAACACUAGGAGUGUCAUAUUACAUGAUGUAGUUGUUAUUGAGCUGUGCAGUACACUCGUGAUGGUUCCAUGCACAGAACUCCACGCAGAAUACACGGUACGACUGCAUAGCAUGAUGUGUGUGUCACUCUAGUUUCAAGUUCUGUGCAAGUUCUGUGCAUGCCUCCCCCAGUGUAGGAGGCAUGGCCACACCCCUGAGGUUAAAAGAGGAAACAGCAAAUCAGCCAAUUGAAGCGAGUCACUGGAUUAUUCCAAUCAGAAACUCCGGAAGCACAAAUGGAAUUAGUUAAUUUAACUUUUCCUUCCGAAUCACGAAAUUAAACGUGAUCUUGCAUUUGUGUUAAAUCGUUGUCCCGGGAUAAGAUCAGUGUGCAUUUUAGUUUACACAGAAAUUAGAAUUAAUCAACUACACAGUAAAAUCAUCCCAAUGUGAAUGACAAGAAAUGCCAUCAAUUCAGAAAGGUUUAAUGCAAAAAAAAAAGAAGUUAUAUUUACACUUUGUCUCACAGUGUUAAUGUGUCUGAUGGCAGCUCUCUGCUUCUCAGAUUAAAGGUACUGUACCAAACUCAUAACAAACCGUGACAUCCAA